UACGGAAGGCAGCAGUGGGGAAUAUUGCACAAUGGGCGAAAGCCUGAUGCAGCUAUGCCGCGUGUAUGAAGAAGGCCUUAGGGUUGUAAAGUACUUUCAUCGGGGAGGAAAAAACAAAACUAAUAAUUUUAUUUCUUGACGUUACCCGAAAAAGAAGCACCGGCUAACUCCGUGCCAGCAGCCGCGGUAAUACGGAGGGUGCUAGCGUUAAUCAGAAUUACUGGGCGUAAAGAGCACGUAGGUGGUUUUUUAAAGUCAGAUGUGAAAUCCCUGGGCUUUAACCUAGGAACUGCAUUUUGAAACUGAAAUACUAGAGUAUCGUAGAGGGAGGUAGAAUUCUAGGUGUAGCGGUGAAAUGCGUAGAUAUCUGGAGGAAUACCUGUGGCGAAAGCGGCCUCCUAAACGAAUACUGACACUGAGGGUGCGAAAGCGUGGGGAGCAAACAGGGAUUAGAUACC
rnacentral:rRNA from 1 species